UGGGGAAUUUUGGACAAUGGGCGAAAGCCUGAUCCAGCAAUGCCGCGUGUGUGAAGAAGGCCUUCGGGUUGUAAAGCACUUUUGUCCGGGAAAGAAAUCCUUGGCUCUAAUACAGUCGGGGGAUGACGGUACCGGAAGAAUAAGCACCGGCUAACUACGUGCCAGCGGCCGCGGUAAUACGUAGGGUGCAAGCGUUAAUCGGAAUUACUGGGCGUAAAGCGUGCGCAGGCGGUUUGCUAAGACCGAUGUGAAAUCCCCGGGCUCAACUGGGAACUGCAUUGGUGACUGGGCAGGCUAGAGUAUGGCAGAGGGGGGUAGAAUUCCACGUGUAGCAGUGAAAAUGCGUAGAGAUGUGGAGGAAUACCGAUGGCGAAGGCAGCCCCCUGGGCCAAAUACUGACGCUCAUGCACGAAAGCGUGGGGGAGCAAAACAGGAUUAGAUAACCCUGGUAGUCCACGCCCUAAAACGAUGUCAACUAGUUGUUGGGGAUUCAUUUCCUUAGU
rnacentral:rRNA from 1 species